UAUAAUAUCUGCUUGCCGAAGACAGUGGGUGCAUUUAUGCGUAAAAGCUCUACGGAGUUUGCCUACCGAGGAAAAGAACUUAUUAUUAAAAGUUUGUGCCUCUCUGUCUUCAUGUCAGAGAGGUUUUUUAUCU
rnacentral:sRNA from 1 species